rnacentral:rRNA from 1 species
CUCGUAAGAGCAAGCAGGGGACCUUCGGGCCUUGCGCUACCGGAUAUGCCCAGGUGGGAUUAGCUAGUUGGUGAGGUAAGGGCUCACCAAGGCGACGAUCCCUAGCUGGUCUGAGAGGAUGAUCAGCCACACUGGAACUGAGACACGGUCCAGACUCCUACGGGAGGCAGCAGUGGGGAAUAUUGCACAAUGGGCGCAAGCCUGAUGCAGCCAUGCCGCGUGUAUGAAGAAGGCCUUCGGGUU